AGUACCGGAACCUCCAUUUGACCCAACGACACUCCAAGACAAAUGUUUUUACCGAGACUGUAGAGACAGAACGAUAUUUCUUGCCUGCAUAAUAACACUUUUCGUGUUACUUGUGUCUGGUGCGGUUGGUUUGGAGAUCUACAUCAGCAAGAAAGACACGAGACACAGAAAGAUAGUCACGCCGCUUCUGACGCCACGGACUCCUCGAACCCCUGCAGCCCCUGAAGAUGAGGACGUUGAUGAUGAUUCUACCGUAUCUUCGGACGAAACAACGACAUCUGAAUCGGAAUCGGAAGAAGAAGAGAUGAAUGAAAAUACAGAGUAGUGAAGGAGGGCUGUGUCCGAUGGUA